UUUGCUCAUUUUACAUUUCUAUACACAGGAGGUGGGGGCAUCAGCUGUGUACUGCAAGAUGGGCAUGUGUUUGAAAAGGCUGGGGUGAGCAUUUCUGUCGUUCAUGGACAUCUUUCUGAGGAAGCAGCAAAGCAAAUGAGAAAUAGAGGAAAAAAUCUGAAGACUAAAGAUGGUAAAUUGUCAUUUUCUGCUAUGGGUGUGAGCUCCGUUAUCCACCCCAAGAAUCCUCAUGCCCCUACCAUCCAUUUCAACUACAGAUACUUUGAAGUAGAAGAAGCCGAUGGUA